CCUUCUCUUCGCCGUCUGAGACAACAAUUGUAGCAAAGUUCGCCGGAAAUUUCUUCGCACUCAGCUCAAUCGUCGGAUUCGUCGCCUGUUUUCGUAAAGCAGGUCACAGUCGUCGCUGUUGUCACCGCUGCGGCCUCCGUCGUCGUUAUCGUCAAAGGUCGCGGUUGUGCCCUCAGCUCCGAUCUGUCGACAUUGUUCGCAGGUCCAAGGAAAAUCUUAAGAAAGUAUCUGGAUCAACCAAAAAAAUCUGUUCAAAGGACACACAAAUCUGUAAAAUCAGAAGAGGAGAUGAAGAAAUCUGAGGCCACUGUUCAAUCUGUCUCGAGCAGUUCUCAGCGGGUAACAGAAAUUCAGGGAAGUAAGAGAAUUCUUCCUGCAAAGCCUUCCAUAAACAUUGAAGCUAGUCCUAUGGAACUUGACACAAAAGAGUCAGAUGCUAAUCCAAAAUCCAAAUUCUUCUUUGGCUACUGCAGAGAAAGGAGUUUUGUGGCCUCAACCGUCCUGUAAUUUCCACAGAGAAAUUGAAAAAGUGAUAGACAAGAGCUGAAGGAGUCUGUGCAAGAGCUUGCUGCCCGAGCAGCUAGUUAUGCCAAAGUUGUAGCUGCAAAAUAUAUUGCACCAACAAAUUCAGCAUAUCAAUUCGAGGUUUCUUGGCAUGGACUUUCUUGUGACUGUAAUCUACAAGUUAAAUACUGAAGGUAACUUACCCACAGCAUUACCUCAGAUAUUUAAGAAUACAUUGUCUGCACCUAUGCCUAUGCUUAUGGACAUUGCUCGGUGUAUUGCCACAUUUUUCAUGAAAGAUGAAGAUUUGGCUGUUAGGUACUUGGAAAUCUGCCUAAGGUCCCAAGAUUCAGCAUGAUCAUCAUGUGUCUAUCAUCUUCUGAUAAAGCUGGAAAUGUAGGUAUUCGGAAGCUGGAAUUGAGCUUUUGGGGUUUUUAAAUUAAUUUAAUUUGUCUUAAGAAAGCUUUCCCUGAUCAGAUUCAUCUGUCUGAGUUAUACAGGCUAUAGGUUGUAAAACAGGAUGUUAUAUGAACCAUUCAGAGGAAAGCAAUUCAGGUUGUUAUACCACCCGUGCCAUGCUUCUCGAAGAUUCAAAAUACUACAAGAAAAAUUCUUGACUACCAAUUCUCAUCGAGGGUGAAAAUGAUAUAAUUCAUGACUUAUCAAUUCUCAUCAAGGGUGAAAAAUGAUAUUCAUCGUCUAGUAAUGAUGUAAAUGGGCAAUUUCAUUUUGCAUGAAAUCGUCAUAUUGAAUAAACUAUUAUGUUGCUUUAUAUUUUUCAUGUAAAAAUACUUUUUAGUUAUGUAUGCACAUUUCAAUUAAUAUGUAGACAAUUGUACUUGAAUAUUGUUUGAUAUUAUUUGACAAAUAUUUGUUACAAUUGAUUUUCUUUUCAAUUGAAUGUGUAUAUAGAGUUUGUUUGUGGUUGCAA